rnacentral:rRNA from 1 species
CUGUCCUACGGGGCGCAGCAGUGGGGAAUAUUGGGCAAUGGGCGCAAGCCUGACGCAGCAACGCCGCGUGAAGGAAGAAGGCUUUCGGGUUGUAAACUUCUUUUGACAGGGAAGAGUAGAAGACGGUAUCUGUCGAAUAAGCCACGGCUAACUACGUGCCAGCAGCCGCGGUAAUACGUAGGUGGCAACCGUUGUCCGGAUUUAUUGGGUGUAAAGGGCGUGUAGCCGGGUUGACAAGUCGGAUGUGAAAUCCUGCGGCUUAACCGCAGAACUGCAUUUGAAACUGUUGAUCUUGAGUAUUGGAG